rnacentral:rRNA from 1 species
GAUGAACGCUGGCGGCGUGCCUAAUACAUGCAAGUCGAGCGAACGGACGAGAAGCUUGCUUCUCUGAUGUUAGCGGCGGACGGGUGAGUAACACGUGGAUAACCUACCUAUCAGACUGGGAUAACUUCGGGAAACCGGAGCUAAUACCGGAUAAUAUUUUGAACCGCAUGGUUCAACAGUGAAAGACGGUCUUGCUGUCACUUAUAGAUGGAUCCGCGCUGCAUUAGCUAGUUGGUAAGGUAACGGCUUACCAAGGCAACGAUGCAUAGCCGACCGGGGAGGGUGAUCGGCCACACUGGAACUGAGACACGGUCCAGACUCCUACGGGAGGCAGCAGUAGGGAAUCUUCCGCAAUGGGCGAAAGCCUGACGGAGCAACGCCGCGUGAGUGAUGAAGGUCUUCGGAUCGUAAAACUCUGUUAUGAGGGAAGAACAUAUGUGUACGUAAAUGUGCACAUCGUGACGGUACCUAAACAGAAAGCCACGGCUAACUACGUG